GGCACACUGUUACUUCUGAUGCCCUUACAUUUGUCAAAAAGAAAAUGAGGGUUUUUUGGACCUAAACUGAGAAGAAUUAUAGCGGAGGGAAGAUGAGAGAUGUAUUUCUUUAACUGCCAAUUAUGUCUGAUCCUGCGAGAGUACAGAAUUUUUGAUGGGUGUGUCUUCAAUUUUGUGGACCCAGGCGUUGCCCACUGCCCAGCUCCUCUGACUAUACCUGACCCAGAUGCUCAGUUUCUGUCUUUUCUGUAUUGAUCGUAGGUGGAGGAGUUACUGAUGGCCAUGGAGAAGGUAAAACAGGAGCUGGAGUCCGUGAAGGCGACGCUGUCCUGCACUCAGCAGUCACUGGCAGAGAAGGAAACUCAUGUGACCAACCUUCGGGCCGAGAGAAGAAAACACUUAGAGGAAGUUCUGGAGAUGAAUUUCAGGUUUUAGCCUCCAGCACCCUUGGUUCAAGGGUAGACGUCCCUUCAGCAGAUUUCAAUCCUCCACACAAGUUUUGGGCUUACUGGACUCCACACGGAGAAGUGAAGAAGGAACCCUCACUACUCCUCCUGUACCUCAACUCCGCCGUUGUCAGACAGCACUGCACUUUGACCCUUCACCAUCUCAAGUAACAGCAUGCUUCUGAGAAAACAUAUCUUCCUGUCAAAAUGGAAAUGAGGUACAAAUGACACAACAACAAAAAAAAAGAUGAGGAAGGAUAACCUGAAUCAUUCCCCGACCAGGAAUCGAACCCGUGGCCCCUGCAGUGGAAGCACGGAAUCCUAACGACUGGACCGCCAGGGAAUUCCCAACAAAUUAUUUUAUUCAUCACAAUAGGAUCUACAUUUCAAAAAAACAGGAGCACGUAUAGAACUGAAAUAUUUAUUCAGCCUAUAGACAAUGCUUGGUAUGCAUAUGGAUAGCCGAUCCAAAAAUUCCAUAGCCAAUUCAGGUAUGUUCUGCCAACAGACUGAGAACCAAACUUUGGUGUAUCACAGAAUCACCUGUAAAGCCUGUUAAAACUCCAUACGCCUGGCCCCAGGCACUAACCACGUCUUGACUGUAGUUCAGUAUGUGUCCAACAGAUGUCUUCACGCUUCUAUCCAUCAAAGGAAAGGCACUCCAGUAAACAAUACAAAAUCUAACAAUAAGUCACGUAACAAUGUAAUUUCAGUACAAACAGAAAAUACAAUGCUUAAUUUAAUUUUUGUUUUUCUUCUUUGGCUUUUAUUUGGGGGAAUUAUUUACCUGCUAUCUACAGAAUCAUGUUCAUAAACAAAAUGGAAAACUAAUCACAAAUGUUCCUGGAUAUGAAUGCCAUUUUAAUGUUACUGUAUUUCAUCAAAUCUAAGAUGCCACUGAUUGUAAGGUAAACCACUGUUUAAUGUGCUGGAAAGAAAAGAAGGAAAUGCCUCCAAAUAAACCAUGACCCAAGCUUCUAUCAUUCAGAAUUUUUAUUUUAUACUGAUUGCAAGACCCUUUUUUACUUAUUUAACCGUAAAGUUUAAUCAUAUAUCAUUUUGAACUGUUUUAUAACUUUCUCCAUACCAAUAACUGUUUCAAUGCUGGUUCACAGCAUAAUAUUACUGAAGACAUACUGAACAACAGCUAAAGUUAACAUGAGAAAUAGCAACAAUACUCACAACAUUGACUAAAAUGAGCAGCUGUUAACUGUUUGUGAGUACACAGGCAAACAAAUCAAGCAGGACUCUGGCCUUGGUGACAGAGAUUUUAAGAUGCCAUCAAGGAUAAGACUUAUUAACUCAAUUUCAUACUGUUGAGAUGGGGAAAACUAUGAGUCUUGGAAUUGAUGAAAGCCCGCUUUUUUAAAAGAUGGACAAUAAUCCAAUAAUAAUAAAAUCUAUGGAUAUCCCAGUGUUGCCAGCUCUCAAUUCUUUCUGCCUUUCUUGACACACUAGUGAUAUAAUGCACAAUAGCCAUUUCAAGUCACCACUCACCCAACCUAGAGUUGUUAAGUUCUUUAUUAGACUUCCUUGUUCACUCGUAAUUCUCCCUCCCCCAUUUAUUCUCAACACAGCCAGAGUAGAUUUUAAAAGCUAAACUAGAUCACUCCCUUGAUUAAACACUGGUGCAGUUUUCUCUUGCACUUUGAAUAAAAUUGUUGCAUUACCUGCAGGGAUCCUGAAGGCAAGUGCUUUGUCUCCUAGAGGGCAUGGAUUUUUGUUUUGUUCACUGCUACUAUAUUUCCUUGUGCUCUGCACAUGGGUUAGUGCCCAAUAAAUAUCUGAUGAAUGCAAUGAAUGACUCUGGCCCUGGCUACCUCUUCAACCUCUCAUCUCAUGCCUGUUUUCCCCUUAGACAAUAUGCUUUUGUCCUCUAGUCUCCUUGCUGUCUCCUGAAAACUUCUCAUCCGGCCUUUGAAACUGUUAACCUUCUUCAUGAAAUGAUUUUACCCAAAUGCUCAGCAAGACUGUUUCAACUUUCUUCAGAUCUCCCUUAAAGGGCACCUCCUCAAAGAUGCUUACCCUGUUUAUCCCCUCUCCCAACAUAAUUAGACUCAACUAAUUUAUUUCCUCUCAUAAUUAUGUUUAUUGUCUCUCACCAGAUUUUUAAGUUCUAGGAGGGCACAGACCAUGUGUUCUGACAUGGAAAAUGUAUACCCAGCGUGUAUCCCAGGGUCACAUACAUUCUAGAAGCUCAAUGGAUGUUUGUUGAGUAAUGAGCAAAGAAAGGCUGUGCCGAGUGCCUCUAGCACCUUGUCACUCUGGAAACGAAACAGUCAAGCCACAUGUUACAAAGCUUUACUCCAAAUUACCAUUUUAGCUUCUGUUACCUGUAUUUUCUAACAUACACAAAUUUAAUUGUUUAAGCCUCUUGCUAUAGCAAUAAAAGAUUCUUUCCUGUCUCAAGAUUGUAUUAAAACCUUUUUCUUACAUUCUC